UUGGAAGAAUCGUUCUUCUUGAACUUACGAAAUUUUUUCAAAGAAAACUGAAGAACAUUUGCAUAAAUGCUGUUGUCUUUUGCAAAUCUUCUCUACCCAUUUGAUACAUUUUAAAUGCUAUUUACUGCUUUCCAGUAAUAAGUUAUGCAACCCAAGAACAAGAUAAUUUUGAUACUAACGUCAGUCUAUAAAAAAAACAUUGUAAUUAGAUUUAAAACUAUAUGGAAAAAAUCCUUGUGGCCUUUGGAGAAAACCGGGAAAAAACCGGGAAAUUGAAAAUCCAAAUCUGGUGGCCACCCUGCGAUAUAGCUUGUAAAAGGCUAUAAGUGCUAAUGCCGCAAUAUUUGUGUUUCAAUCGGUAUUCGAUUAAUUUAUUAAUUAUUUUUCACCUCAAAAAUGCAUAAGAUUGUUCAUCUGCAUUCUUUAUAUGUGCAUAAUUUGAAAACAAUGAAAAUUCUAUUUUUUUCAGAGAAAACCAAAAGUACUCCGCAAUCACUCGUUCUUGACUGUCCGUAGGGCUCUUACAAACCACGGGCAGAACGAACUGAUUUCUAGCAAUUGACGUGUUUUUAACUUAUGCUCAGAUCUUUUCGACUUUGACAUUUCCAGUGACACAAUCAAAUUACGCUUCCUAAAUCACCUGAAAUCCCAUCCCUGACCUAACAAUACUCAUGUAGAUUUAAGAAACUGUGAUAUUUAUGUUAAUUUAUUGAGUUAGUUUUAAGAAUGACCUCGUCUUGUAUCAUAAGAUGAGGUGGUUUUGUGCUUUUUUGAGAAAGUGCCUUGAAUAAUACCAGUCACAGAUAAAGAGGUCCAGCUCCAAUAGAGAAAAAAAAUAACAUAUAAUUUGUGCAUGCUUGUAAAAAUAUGUGCCAGCUUAAUUAUUAUUUUUUAAAAUUCAAACAAUUUGUGAACUCAGUAAUAUUGCGUCCUUUUGAAUGAAUCAAGUCUCCCUACUUAGAAAAUUGCAUGCCCUUCAAGAAUACUUUACCCAGAUUAUUGUGCAAGCUUGUACAAAUAUGUGCCAGCUCGGAUACGCAUUCAGUAAUAUUGCGUCCUUUUGAAUAAAACCAGUCUCUCUACUUAGGCGUCAUCCAUAAAGAAUGUCACACUAAAAUCGGCCAAAAUUAACCUCCCCUCCCCCCUAUGUCACACUUUGUCACGCUGGCUCCCUUGAAAAGUACGUCAUGAUUUGUUGGACCCUCCCCCUCUUAAUCUUUACUUUUUGUACAAUCUAGAUUAAAUUUUAAAAAGGUCCUAUCUGCAUAGGAAACCCAUUACUCAUAGGUUAUUUUGAAAAUUAGACGAUUUAUAAAUGUAGAAUAAAUAAAUCGGAGUUCAAUCGAGGAAGUUUUAUUUUUAUUUUUAAGGGUUGUGUUUGGAUUUUUUAUAUGAUGAUUUAUUUUUUUUUUAUAUGAUAAUGAUUAAAUCUAUUAUCAAAAACUCUGUUUCUUAAAGCCUUGUAUUGUGUUUUAUUCAUGAGUAAACUUUAUCAAACAUUAAACAUCUUUUUAAAUAUAUUUAAAGACUGAAUUUUCAAUAUUCAACAAAACAGUCUAGCGUGACGUCAUCUGUCACACUUUGUCACGCUUGCGACAUCCCCCUCCCCCCUAGAGCGUGACGUUCUUUGUGAAUGACGCCUUAGUAAAUUUCAUGCCCUUCAAGAUUACUUCACCCAGAUUAUUUGUGCAAGCUAUUACACAUAUGUGCCAGCCAAUUCUUUUUAAAUUAAAACAAUUUGUGCAUUCAGUAAUAUUGCGUCCUUUUGAAUGAAAACAGUCUCUCUUCUUUAAAAACUUCAUGCCCUUCAAGAAUACUUUAUCCAGGUUAUUUGUUCCAGCUAGUACAAAUAUGUGCUAGUUUUGAUAAAGAUACUUUGAUUUUUUAAAGCGGAUCAUUAAAAUAGCCCAAUUUGGACUUUGGCACAGUGGCUCUGUGCUGUGGCCUGUGCUCAAUUUUUUGUUCACUUGCUUAGUUUUUUGUGGCUCAUAAGGCCAUUUUUAAUUUGGCACGACUUAAUAUAAAAGAUAAUUAAAAAUAUUAUGUUUCUUUUCAAUUUUUAACACCGCAAAUCUUGAGUUUUUUUUAAAGGCCUAUAAACUAUUGUCUUUUAUAUGUUGAUGAUUUUUGUUCUUUUUCUUUGAACAAGUUUACAUUUUGUGAUGAAAUUCUUUUCAGUUUCCAUGGGAUAUUGCAGCCAUUAUGAUCUCCAAUAACCAUAAUCAUAUUUGCUUUGGAACAAAACGAGCUUUAGGUGAUUUUAAACUGUUAAUAAUUUGCAGAAAUGCAUUAAUUCAUGUUCAUGAUGAACAGAUCCAGAACCGGCUUCAAAUGUUUUUUACAGGAAUUGAACGAUUCAUACAACAUGGCAGUUCGUUAUACAUACCAACUUUCAACAUUUUGGAAUGAAGCAUUACCUAAAGAAAUUUGUAGCAUGUACCGGCAUCUAUAUCAAACAUUUUAUCUUAACGAAAACGAUCACUCGUGGUUUGAUUUACCUAGUGCAGAUAUAGUUAUACAAAUUCAAAUAACAAUGUUUUAUUUGGAACUUGAAUAUGACUUUUUAUCAGUUUCUGGAACUUUGAGAAGGUAAUACCAUAUACUUAUGCAGCAAUGGAGCACCCGCAGUCGAGCAGUUUUUGACAGUUCGCUCCAUAAGAAAUACAUAGGGACGUGGCGUUCAUCGUGCUGCCAUCUGGUUUUUUUAAGUGCAAGAGUGGAAAAGUGCUGAGUCAUCGUCUAAAAAUAGACGGCGUCCUAUCUCGCCCAGCAAAAUGAAGUCGAUAAAGUAGUCGGAUUCGAUGAGAAAAAGUGGAAAACGUGGUCUAAAAAUAGCGACGCCAUCCCCUUAUUGUAGAAAAAAGCAAAAACUGCUCGAAUGGAAGUGCUCCAUUCCAUUUGAAAAGAGCCUGAACCAAAAAAAUAAAAUUUUUCUUGAGAUUCCUUGACCAAAAUAA